CGCCCACUCCUCUGAUUGGCUUGGAGAAAGAAACGAUAGGCGGGAGGAGUAAGGAGUGUUUAUAGUGACCUGGAAGAUGGUUGAUUAAACUGGAUGUCCGUCAAAGGAGCUGGGUGCGCCUUCUCCGCCACUAGCAACUAGGCUGUUUGCGCACACGGCCUUGGUUUCACCCGAUUCCUCCUGGGGGUUUUCCUCUGACAAACUGGAGUAAUGACCCUGCCAACGCACGCCUAACAUUCAGUGUACUGUUCCUCAGCGGGAUUGAAUAAACUGAGCUGGAAACAAUA